rnacentral:lncRNA from 1 species
GGGAAACAAUUAAAGAGUAUUGAUAAGAUGUGAAAAUCUAUUUAAUCAUGUAUUAAGGAGGUUUAUGUACGUGUAUGACUUGAAUUCGGCAGGAAGCGUGAUGAACCCUAUCCAUGAAUUGAUGAUAUACCUCCAGAUCGGACGUGGUUGGGGAAGUCUCAUACUGGACGUAGAUAGAAAAGUGAUCAGCGUUUGUGUCCUCCUAACGAAUAUUACUAUUGAGACACACUCAGUGAAAGUGUUAAGUGUUCUUAUCUAUGUGGUGGAAGGAAUCUUUAGUGAAUCAUUGAUACAGUUAAAACAAUAUCUUACGAUGAAAUUAUAUUAUAAAUGAAAGUAUGUGUCAAAAUGCAAGUAUAAGUGCAAGUGUGAGGGUAAGUAAAAUAAAAUAAAUUAUAAGAAUAAUAAACAAAUGAAAAGUGAAUUGUAAGUAAAGAAAAAUAAAAAGUAAACUAUAAUAAGUGAAUAAGUGGAAAGAACAGUGAAAAUUUUAAAAGAGACAAGUAUUAAUGAUACAAACACUAAAACAAUGAUAUAAGAAUUGAAAACAAAUCCACAUUUAAACAAUCAUAAGAAUAAUAAGAUUUUUCAAAAAUGUAAAAUCUGAAGAAGAAAAUAGAAAAGAAAAACCAAUAGUGCAAAUAAAUAGUGAAGUAUUUUAAAUAAAUAUAAUUGUAAUGAUUUGUAAAAGAAAAUUUUAUUAUGAAGCUUUUAUAAGUCUUAUAAACUAGUACUUUUUAGAAAAAAAAAAAAGCUUUAUCUUCAUAUUGGUAUAAAUUUUGUUUUGGAUUCCGUUAAUAAAAUAUUAUCAUAUUUUUACUGAUUUAGUGCAACUCGUUCAAAUUCACUGUGACAUCCUUUCAUAUAAGGAAACCCAAAAAUAAGUUCUAAAUCCAUAAUGGACAUGCAUAUGGUCCUAUAUGGCCUUUUAAAUAUGUAUUUGAGAGUAUUCUGUAAAUAACUUUAGCUAGUUUAAUAAUGAAAAUCUAUAUGUAUGCCUCAUGAUUUUGGAAAACCUUAAUACUAGUGUAAUGCAAGGGAUGUAUAGCAAUAUAUGAUGAUCGUUGCAAUGUAAGUAAAAUUUGGUAUUAAUUAUCUCUGUGUUAACGUCAGUAUUCAAAUCGAAGUAUGGAAUACAUUUCAAAAUUAAUUUUAUUUUAUAUAGAAUACUUUAAAUUGAUUAAAUUAUACCAAUUCUUAGUUUUCUACAUUGUUGAACUAUUUUUUUUUUUAAUUUUCACACUAUAAAUAAUUUAUUUAAUAAAUUUGUUAUCUUAAAUUAAGUCAAGAUAUAAAUUUUAUUUUUUGGAUAAAUGCAACUUGUAAACUUGGGUAGGGAAAAAUCCCAACAAAAUCAUUUUCAUAUAGAAAAAAAAAAAGAAAAACAAAAUAAUUUUGAAGUUGGUUUUUUGUUGUUAGAAAUAAUUUACAAAUUAAAAAUAUAAUUAUGUGUGAUUUAGUUUGUUGCAGUUACAGUUCAUAAAUAAAAGUUAUUAUAUGUUAAUUAAUUUAUUGAUAGUUAGAAUUAAUUAUUUAAAAUUUUAAAAAUUAUAAUAAUAUCUAUAAAUAGGUAUGUAAUUGAAAGUUUCUUAAAACAUCGGCAAUAGAAAAACUUGUGAGCACAAUUAUUGAAAUUGUAUUCUUUAAAGGUGAAAUCAAACUUGUCGUCUUCCUCGUAAAGUCAUUAAUUUCACCAGUGAUCCUAACUAAUAUAGCUAACACUAGCUUAUUCAAGUGAUGCAUAUAUCUACACACAUAUUAUAUAUACAGCUAAAAGUCAAGCUUGUGGGACUCUUAUAAAUCAGAGAGCUACAAACCUUACUCAUCACUUGCAAUUGGAAAGACCAGACACAGAGCUCUUAUAAUCUCCCAAAUAAUGGACCACAAUUCUUUUUCUUCUUCUCCUCAUCCUCAUGUACUCAUCUUUCCAUUUCCUGCGUGAGGCCAUGUGAACUCCAUGUUAAAGUUGGUAGAGCUUUUAGGUCUCGCCGGAGUCAAGGUCACAUUUGUCAACUCCGUUUACAACCACGAUCAAGUCGUCCGCCACAUCGACAUUGUCGAUAGAUUCUCUCUGUUAGAGAUAGGAGGAAAAGAUUAGAGAGACUAAUGAGAAGACUCAAGAAUUUUCUAUUUG